CAGCAGCCGCGGUAAUUCCAGCUCCAAUAGCGUAUAUUAAAGUUGUUGCAGUUAAAAAGCUCGUAGUUGAAUUUCGGGGUUAGUAGGUUGGUCGUGCCUUUGGUAUGUACUGGCUUUACUGAUUCCUCCUUUUUGAAGAACNGUAAUGUCAUUAAUUUGGUGUUGCAGGGACACAGGACUGUUACUUUGAAAAAAUUAGAGUGUUUAAAGCAGGCCAACGCUUGAAUACAUUAGCAUGGAAUAAUGAAAUAGGACGUUUNAUCCUAUUUUGUUGGUUUCUAGGAUUGACGUAAUGAUUAAUAGGGAUAGUUGGGGGCAUUAGUAUUCAAUUGUCAGAGGUGAAAUUCUUGGAUUUAUUGAAGACUAACUACUGCGAAAGCAUUUGCCAAGGAUGUUUUCAUUAAUCAAGAACGAAAGUUAGGGGAUCGAAGACGAUCAGAUACCGUCGUAGUCUUAACCAUAAACUAUGCCGACUAGGGAUCGGAUGAUGUUAAUUUUUUAAUGACUCAUUCGG
rnacentral:rRNA from 1 species